rnacentral:rRNA from 1 species
GACGAACGCUGGCGGCGUGCUUAACACAUGCAAGUCGAACGGAAAGGCCCUGCUUUUGUGGGGUGCUCGAGUGGCGAACGGGUGAGUAACACGUGAGUAACCUGCCCUUGACUUUGGGAUAACUUCAGGAAACUGGGGCUAAUACCGGAUAGGAGCUCCUGCUGCAUGGUGGGGGUUGGAAAGUUUCGGCGGUUGGGGAUGGACUCGCGGCUUAUCAGCUUGUUGGUGGGGUAGUGGCUUACCAAGGCUUUGACGGGUAGCCGGCCUGAGAGGGUGACCGGCCACAGUGGGACUGAGAUACGGCCCAGACUCCUACGGGAGGCAGCAGUGGGGAAUAUUGCACAAUGGGCGGAAGCCUGAUGCAGCAGCGCCGCGUGCGGGAUGACGGCCUUCGGGUUGUAAACCGCUUUCGCCUGUGACGAAGCGUGAGUGACGGUAAUGGGUAAAGAAGCACCGGCUAACUACGUG